rnacentral:rRNA from 1 species
AUACAGAGACCACAAGCGUUACUCGGAUUCACUGGGCGUAAAGGGAGUGUAGGUGGGCAGGUGUGUCGGGCGUGAAAUCUCGGGGCUUAACUUCGAAAUUGCGUUCGAAACUACCUGUCUAGAGUUUUGGAGAGGUUAGCGGAAUUCCAGGUGUAGCGGUGAAAUGCGUAGAUAUCUGGAGGAACACCAAAGGCGAAGGCAGCUAACUGGACAAAUACUGACACUGAGGCUCGAAAGCGUGGGGAGC